UUCUUAUUGAGGUAUUAAAAGCUGCACUGUCAUGCAUUCAUAUAUGUGAACUGGCAGCCAAACUUUGUAACGUGAACGUGAUGAUUUUGGUAUUGAUUUUAAAGAGAAUAGAUUGUUUAAAAUUGGGUUUUGUUUUCCAAAAGUUAUGCAUGUAUUGUAAUAUCGCAAAAGAAACUUAAAAAUUAUGGAUAAAAUUGCUUCCCACAUCCACGUUUUUCUGGUUUCUCGACAUAUUCCAAAUCCUAGUUUGUGCAUUUCUCAUUUUCCACGUUUUUCAGUAUUUUUCGCCAUAUUCCAUGUCCUACCAUGUGAGUUUCUCACUUUACUUGUUUCUAAGUUUUCUCAGCAUAUUCCAGGAAAAAGAGAUAUUAAUGGAUUAAUAUUAAUUCUAUAUAUACAUAUAUACAUAUAUACAUACACACACACAAUUUUUAAAAAGAGAAUUAAAGUAGAGCUGGGGCAAUUGUGGAACACACCUUCAACCUCAGGCAGAUUUCUGCGUUCAAGGUCACCCUGACUUACAAGUCAGCUAGGGCUAGAGAAAUCAUAUAUCAGAAAAAAAACGAAAAAAAUAAUAGAAAGACAGA
rnacentral:lncRNA from 1 species